rnacentral:rRNA from 1 species
CUGAAUAGGGCGUUUAGUAUUUGGUCGUAGACCCGAAACCAGGUGAUCUACCCUUGGUCAGGUUGAAGUUCAGGUAACACUGAAUGGAGGACCGAACCGACUUACGUUGAAAAGUGAGCGGAUGAACUGAGGGUAGCGGAGAAAUUCCAAUCGAACCUGGAGAUAGCUGGUUCUCUCCGAAAUAGCUUUAGGGCUAGCCUCAAGUGAUGAUUAUUGGAGGUAGAGCACUGUUUGGACGAGGGGCCCCUCUCGGGUUACCGAAUUCAGACAAACUCCGAAUGCCAAUUAAUUUAACUUGGGAGUCAGAACAUGGGUGAUAAGGUCCGUGUUCGAAAGGGAAACAGCCCAGACCACCAGCUAAGGUCCCAAAAUAUAUGUUAAGUGGAAAAGGAUGUGGCGUUGCCCAGACAACUAGGAUGUUGGCUUAGAAGCAGCCAUCAUUUAAAGAGUGCGUAAUAGCUCACUAGUCGAGUGACACUGCGCCGAAAAUGUACCGGGGCUAAACAUAUUACCGAAGCUGUGGAUUGUCCUUUGGACAAUGGUAGGAGAGCGUUCUAAGGGCGUUGAAGCAUGAUCGUAAGGACAUGUGGAGCGCUUAGAAGUGAGAAUGCCGGUGUGAGUAGCGAAAGACGGGUGAGAAUCCCGUCCACCGAUUGACUAAGGUUUCCAGAGGAAGGCUCGUCCGCUCUGGGUUAGUCGGGUCCUAAGCUGAGGCCGACAGGCGUAGGCGAUGGAUAACAGGUUGAUAUUCCUGUACCACCUAUA